AUUGAACGCUGGCGGCAGGCCUAACACAUGCAAGUCGAGCGGAUGAAGGGAGCUUGCUCCUGGAUUCAGCGGCGGACGGGUGAGUAAUGCCUAGGAAUCUGCCUGGUAGUGGGGGAUAACGUCCGGAAACGGGCGCUAAUACCGCAUACGUCCUGAGGGAGAAAGUGGGGGAUCUUCGGACCUCACGCUAUCAGAUGAGCCUAGGUCGGAUUAGCUAGUUGGUGGGGUAAAGGCCUACCAAGGCGACGUUCCGUAACUGGUCUGAGAGGAUGAUCAGUCACACUGGAACUGGGACACGGUCCAGACUCCUACGGGAGGCAGCAGUGGGGAAUAUUGGACAAUGGGCGAAAGCCUGAUCCAGCCAUGCCGCGUGUGUGAAGAAGGUCUUCGGAUUGUAAAGCUCUUUAAGUUGGGAAGAAGGGCAGUAAGUUAAUACCUUGCUGUUUUGACGUUACCAACAGAAUAAGCACCGGCUAACUUCGUG
rnacentral:rRNA from 1 species